GCCGGGGUAGCUCAGUGGUAGAGCAGAGGACUGAAAAUCCUNNUGUCGCCAGUUCGAUCCUGGCCCCCGGCACGA
rnacentral:tRNA from 1 species